CCCAGGCAUUAGCUUUAUAGGAAAAACAUUAUAGUGAGGGAUUUCCCGCGAACCAAAUGAGUCCUUGGGAAACACCAAAUUAGAAGGAAUUGCAGUUAUUAAAUUACCAUUUUUCACAUACAUAUCUUUAUCAUAUUCUAAUUUAUUAUUGUUCAAACCAAUUUUCAAUUUGGCAUAUAAGAUUUUAGAGCAACUAAAUAUCCUUUUACUUCUGCCUAAAAAUAUGUAACACAUAAAUGUUGUAUUGGAUGCUCUUAAUCCGAUAGUGCCUGAAUAAUUAGAAUGAUAUAGUACAAAAUUCAUUAUGUCGACAUCGGAUUUCAUACUAGUGUUAGUAUGUGGUUCGGUAUGGUACAAGAUAGCAUAUCAAGUAUCGGUAUGAUACAAUAUAGUGCACCGAUACGAGAUCAGUAUUGGUACGGUAUAUCUCGUACUAAACGAUAAGGGACAGUACAAGAUACCAUGAUAUAGUAACUAAGGUGGGAUGACUAUCUUUAUUGGUUGAAUGUAUGUCGGUGCAUACCAUGAUAUCCGGUAAAUAAGGUGGGAUGACUGUCUUUAUUGGUUGAAUGUAUGUCGGUGCAAAGGGAGACAAUCACUAUACUUUGUAUGGUUUCUUCUUUAAAUAAAAUCACUUCUUAAUGGCCUUCUAUUAUUAUUUUCUACUAGAAAGCACAGAUACGAUACGGGACAUGGGUAUGGUAUGAUACGGAUAUGGAGAUAUGAUAAAUUCUUAAAAAUAUAGCAGCUAUUUUGUUAUACGGAUAUGGGGUAUAGUAUGAUAUGGAUAUGUAUCCGACAUUGGUACGGCAGCUGUUUUGCCGUAUCUGUGCUUUCU
rnacentral:lncRNA from 1 species